rnacentral:rRNA from 1 species
ACCAGGGCUACACACGUGCUACAAUGGUCGGUACAAAGGGUUGCUACCUAGCGAUAGGAUGCUAAUCUCAAAAAGCCGAUCGUAGUCCGGAUUGGAGUCUGCAACUCGACUCCAUGAAGUCGGAAUCGCUAGUAAUCGCGGAUCAGAAUGCCGCGGUGAAUACGUUCCCGGGCCCU